rfam:Danio rerio chromosome 4, GRCz11 reference primary assembly.
GUCAGGAUGGCCGAGCGGUCUAAGGCGCUGCGUUCAGGUCGCAGUCUCCCCUGGCGGCGUGGGUUCGAUUCCCACUUCUGACA